rnacentral:rRNA from 1 species
UACGUAGGGGGGCAAGCGUUGUCCGGAUUUAUUGGGCGUAAAGGGCGCGUAGGCGGCCUGGCAAGUGACGGGUGAAAGCCCUCGGCUCAACCGAGGAACUGCCUGUCAUACUGCCGGGCUUGAGUCCGGGAGAGGUGAGUGGAAUUCCCAGUGUAGCGGUGAAAUGCGUAGAUAUUGGGAGGAACACCAGUGGCGAAGGCGGCUCACUGGACCGGAACUGACGCUGAGGCGCGAAAGCGUGGGGAGCAAACAGG